UGGUAGCAUUUCUAAGUGGUCGUAGACCUCGUGAUAGUGAAUUUUUGUGGUGGUACUUCAAAUUCAUACAAGUGUAGUUGUAUACCAGGGGUGUGCAUUUUAAGACCUGGACCGGAAAACCAACCGGGACCGGACCGUAGGAUUUUGGGUCGGUCCUUAGAAAUGAGCAAUUUUGGGUUUCCGGUCCGGUCCGAUUAAAACUCGGAAUAUUCCGGCCUGGACUGGAAACCCUGAAAAAGUUUGUUUUUUUACAAUUUUUAUUUUUAAUUUCCCAAAAACCCUAAGAUUCAAUCAGACAAUCAAUCACGCCUCUUUCCUCUUCUCACUCUCUUUCCUCCUCUGCUCCACGCCUCCGUGGCUCCGCACCCGAUCUCAACCACGGCACCGCCUUCCUCUUUGACUUCCAACCUCCUUUUCGGUUUUUUUUUGUUUAAUUAAAAUCAAUUUAAACACUCCUCCGUUUGUUGUAACCUGCAUCUCCGAUCACUCCAGCCGUCGCCGCCUCACGGCCCUCACCGGAAGUCAGUCCUGUUCGAAAGUCAGAGUAUUACCAUUCAAUUGUUCAACAACGGAUUCAUAUUCAUGCAAUGUAAGUUGCUUGCAUCAGUUGCAUAUUCAAUACUUUUAAAAAAUGUUUUUGAUUUUAAUCUGUUUCUAUUCUUAUGAUUCUGCUAUAAUUUUCGGAUAUGGGUUAAAAAAAAUAGCAGGGAAGAUUAGCAGGUGCUGUUAAAUGCAGGAAAAAAAAGGAUAAUGUCGGUUCCAACCGGUCCAAAACCGGAACAUACCGUAUUAAACAGGUCCAGACCGGGACCGGACCGACUGAUUAUGGUCCGGUCCCCGGUCCUUAAAAAAUGCUUAUUUCAGGUUUCGGUCCCGGUCCGGUUUUGGACCGGUGCACAGCCCUAGUUGUACUUUAAAAUGCUUGUGGUCAUUGGCUGAUAUCAAAGAGACCCUCUGGGAAAACUCUUGGCGCAUAGGCUCUAUGUAUUAAAAAUGCAAAUAAAAUGACUUUUUGUAAAUAUUGGGAACCUGAAGGUGAAAAAUAUAAUGACAAAAAGUACCAUAAUAUGCAUAAUAAUACAUUAAAAAUACUAUUCAAACAACUUAUAUUUUAAUAGUACAUUAUACAUGUAUAAUAGUACACAAAAAUGUACCACUGUACUAAAACAAGCGAGAAAAUGUACCACAAAAUCCCAUAUUGCCUUUCUAUGUGUAUGCCAAAUAUAUAGGCCGUAUGCGUCUAGAUGCACUCUCUGUGUUUAAUAGACUGAUACCCGAUCUCUUAUUUAGUUGUAAGGUAGUUAGCCCAAACCAAGAAUCCGUCCGCCCUUUUUUGUGUUUGUUGAGCCCAUGAACAACCCACAUGUGAGCAUUAUCUUGUCUCACACUCAACACUAAAGGGGGGAGUAUAGUGGUAAUGGAAUCCCACAUUAAAAGAAUUCAAGAGUUACUACCACAAUAUAAGGCUAAGGGGCUACUCUCCUCAUUGCCAUAUGGUUUUGAGGUGGAACCUCCUUGGUCUUGUGAAGUGGUGGACUUGCACUCUCUCGUGACGGGUGAGGCCCAGACCCGUAUUUAACAGUGAUAAAUCCAAAAAAGACUGCUUAUUUACAUACAAAACUUUAAUUUGUAUGUCCGGUAAUUAGUAGGGGUGAGCAUGAGACAUGUACCCAAACCACGUUAGGUAAUCGAUUAUAUCUAUAAACCGAACUGAUAAGUUUGGGUACCUGAACUUCGGAUUCGGAUUUUCGGAUCAGUUAUCGGGCACCCAAUUAGAUAUCCAAUAUGUUAUUAAACUUAAUAAAGUAGUUAUUAUAAUAUCAUUUAACACUAAUUAAUAACGAUACCACAUGAUCUUGAUCAAAUUAUUAAUAAUAUUACUAAUCGAUAUUAUAAAGUGAUUAUGAACUAAAGUAAGAGUUUAUAUAUUGGAAAAAUAGAUUUAAGUAGGAAAAAAACAAAAAUUUGUUUAUUGGAUUGAUUUAGGUAACUGUUAGUUUUAAAAUGAUAUCCAAUAACCAUACCCGAACCGUUAUGAUUAUCGGAUCGGGUUUCCUAAUUUUCGGAAUGUUUAUGGAUCGGGUUUAUGAUGGCUGUUGAUAGUCCCGGUACUCACUUUGUCCCAAUCUGUUUCUCUCAUAACUCCCAUUACAUUUUUGAGAAAAAAAAAAAAUUAUGACAAAAGUUUAUCACUAAUCCAUACUCCAUAUGAAAUAAUAUAACCUACUUCGUAUUAUGCAGCCUUCUAUAAAAAGUGCCUUAAUAAUCAAUUAAGAAAAGUUUGAAGUGGCAUUACUUGAAAAUUCUACAGUCAUUGUUAAAAAAUGACACCACAAUAUGCUGAUGUGGCGAAAUCUGAUUAGUCCAUAUUAAAUAUUUUGAUUUUUAUUUUGAAUUAAUUUUAAAGUCCAUAAUAUAUUAAAAUUGUAUUUAUAUUAUGUAUUCUUUACAUGUAUUUUUUUAAGAAAUACUUAAUCAUAAUUAUGAAAAUCCCUUUGUGUCCUUGCCUAUACACCACCAACAACUCCAAACCGGUUGCCUGCAACCCAACAACUCAUCGCUGCCGCACCACCGAGCAGCAAAACAACUACCUCCAAUCGUCGGACAACAGAGCAGCCACCAGUAGCUCUCUCACCGCUCCACCCACCGCACUGCUACAACAAUCCAGUCUGCCGCAUCCUCCAGCCCCGCACUCAAAUCACCGCCGCCCAGCUCUCAACCGCACAUCAACGCCAUUUUCAGUCACCUACGCAACUACCACCUUCAAUUCACGCCGCUUCAAUUCACCAACACUAAAACGCAGCAUCAAUUGUGACAAUUAAACCUCAAAUCAACCAACAAUUACAUCAAUUCACUACCCAAUUACAAUAUAUUCGGCCUCCAAUCGUAGCAACAACCGCCACCUUCAAUUCACGCUCCACUAACAACACCAAAACACAGCACCAAUUGCAACUAAUAGAACUUCAAUCCACCGUUAAUUACAUCAAUUUGCCACCUAAUUAUAACAAUUUCGUCCUCCAAUCGCAGCAACAACCACCACCUUCAAUCCACGCUUCACCAACAACACCAAAACGCAUCAGCUAUUGCGACAAUUAGAACCUCUAAUCCACCAUCAAUUACAACAAUUUCGACCUUCAAUAGCAACAACUAUUUCAAAUUGUGCUCCAAUUGAAGACCUAGAAGGUUCGCUCAUGGAAGAAAUUCAAAAAUAAUUUUUUGAAAUUAAAAAAAAAAAAUUAUACUGUAACUAUGUAUUUUUUAAAAAUAUACAUGUAUUUGUAAUAAUACAUACACGUAUAGUAUAAUUUGUCUUUUAAAAAUAAAUGAAAUUUUGACCAACCAUAACAUGCCACGUCAGCAUGUUAUGGUGUCAUUUUUUGAAAAAUGACACAUUAGAAUCAAACCUGGGCACGGGCCGGGUUGGCCCGCGUGCCGCCCGGCACGACCCGAAUUCAAGCACGACACGGCACGAAGUUCAACUCCCGUGCCACGGACAGGGUUGAGAAUUCCCAGGCACGGCCCGACACGAGCACAGGCAUGGCCCGCCGUGCUGGCCCGCAGGCACGGAACGCAGGCACGGCCCGGAACGGCUCGCGGGCCAACGGUAAUGUUACCGUUUAUUCUAGCUCCUUAAUAAGCCAAAAAAACGGCUA